UACGUAGGGUGCAAGCGUUGUCCGGAAUUAUUGGGCGUAAAGAGCUCGUAGGCGGUUUGUCACGUCGGAUGUGAAAACCCGAGGCUUAACCUCGGGCCUGCAUUCGAUACGGGCUGACUAGAGUUCGGUGAGGGGAGACUGGAAUUCCUGGUGUAGCGGUGAAAUGCGCAGAUAUCAGGAGGAACACCGGUGGCGAAGGCGGGUCUCUGGGACGGUACUGACGCUGAGACGCGAAAGCGUGGGGAGCGAACAGG
rnacentral:rRNA from 1 species